AUCCAGCUGACGAGUCCGAAAUAGGAAGAAACGCGUAUCCUGAAU
rfam:Schistosoma margrebowiei strain Zambia genome assembly, scaffold: SMRZ_contig0002903